rnacentral:lncRNA from 1 species
GAAAAGGGUUUAGUUGUGCGGUGGUCGACGGCGUGGGUUACUUCGGUGGCGGAGUUCGAUCCACGGUGGAAGGAAAAAGAAGAGUGAGGUUGUUUAGAUCGCAGUCAGCUUGGUAGAUGGCGUUGAAGGGAAUUCGCGGCGGCCAUGGCGGUUAGCCGGAAGUUGUUGAAGGAUGUUAAGGGCGGAGAAUUCGAGACGUACGGUGGAGUGUGUAUGUUAUGGUGGUGUUUGUUGGAAGGUUUGAGUUUAUGAAGAAGAAGAGGAUUUGAAGGAAUUGAGUGGGUAAGGGUGUGACGGCAGUGCGUUUUUUCAAGGGGAAGAAGAAGGUGGAUUUCAGUGUUUUGUGUGUGUGACGUUUGGGAGCAGAAGAAGUAUUCCUCCCUUUUUGUUUUUUUCUGUCCCAUGAGUCCCCUUUUUCUUGAGACAGAGUGGUGAUCCCCACGUGAAGAAGAAAUCUCUUUGUUUCCCCUUUUUCCCCGUUAGCCAGCUGUUCCUCCAUUAAUAAAAUCCCAUUUUUGUUCUUAUCCCAUCUCUCCCAAUAACAUGAUGCCACGUUUCAUGUUGAGAGUAUGGAUAAAAAAUCUUCUCAAAUGCAAGCUGUCAAACGUGUAUCUUUCACAAGUAUACAACUUUAUUUUUAAUUUUUAAUUUUUAAUGUUAAUAUUAAUAUUAUUUGAUUUUUCAUGAUUAAUAUUAUUAUUAAUUGAUUUUUGAUUGGAUAAUGGAAUAUGAUAACGAUUGCAAAUGAGAUCCGUGGAUUAAUUUGUAUCAACGAUCCUGAUUAAUCCAAAGAAGCACAAGCAAUUUUAAAAUGUCCGAUAUGUCCCUUUUAUAUGAUUUUAAUUGAUUUAAAAUAAUUUAAAUCAUCAAAUCAAAUUAAAUUCGCAUCUUUCUAAAUACAUACGAUAAAAAUAAAAUGAGAAUACGAAAAAUUCUAUUUAUUUCUUUUGAACAUUUUGGCGAAAGAAUAAAAAUAAAAUGACUAAAAAUUAAUAAAAGUCGGACGAAAAUUUGUUUAAAAAAUUAAAUCGGACGCACUAAAAUGAUCAGCGCGAAAUAUACUUAUUGAAAAAAUACAUCAUUUCUUUUAAUUUUGAAAUAAAUUUUGACCGAUUGAAAGGCUUAGACGGAUCAAAAUGCGAUUGAAAAAGUCGUCGAAAAAUAUAACGAGCACACCAUGUUAAACUACGCAGACCAUAGAUUAAUAAUACUGGCGUAUGCAAGUUUAAUUUUGAAACUUUUUACACGCUGAUUUUGCACGUACUUGAGAAAUGAUUUAACCAAUUUGUCUAUAUUUUCAAUAAUUUAUUUCGACCGAUAUUUUAAGUAUUAUUCAUGAUGAAAUGCAUGUUAUGCUGUACAACUGAUGCAAAUUAAAAAUGAAAUCAAGUUUAUGAAAAAUUUAAAAUGUCUGGACAAAAUUGGGGUAUGACAGCUGCCCCUAUUUAGUUACCUUGAUCCGGAAAGUAAGAAUUACAGCAGUGUCCGUAAAUUCGUGGUGGAAGGUAAUUAAAUACGAAAAGACCCAAAUUUUGUCCUUUGAAAUGUGAUGGAGAAAUGUAGAAAGAAAAUGUAACGAAUCCUAACGACAUCCAGGGUAUUAGGGGUAGAAUAUCCGAUCAAUGCCAACCCUCGAGUCGACAUUUAAAUCUUGCAAAGGUCGUUAUUGAUAUGAGGACAAACCUGAGCAGGUUUUCUGGCACCAAAAGGAUGACAAUAGAAUUAAUUGCCAUCACCAAAAGGGUGAUAGUAAUUCACCAUGAUUUCCGGGAUCGUCAUCACCAAAAGGAUGAUGGAAUACCAAGCUUCAAAGGUAGUCAUCACCAAAAGGAUGAUGGUUAUCCUGAUAAAGCUUUCCAUUACCGAGGGGGUAAUAUUAAGACUAUCAUCAAAAGGACGAUAGUUAACUCAUCAACUUCAAAGAUCACCGUCACCAAAAGGAUGAAAGUAAGUUCAACGACAAAACUUAUUAUCACCAAAAGGAUGAUGCUAAGUCACGGCAACUUCAUUGGAUCACCAUCACCAAAAGGAUGAAGGUAACAUUAACAACAAAACUUGUUAUCACCAAAAGGAUGAUAAAAAGUCAACAAUCACCAUCACCAAAAGGAUGAAGGUACUACCAAACAACAGAACUUGUUACCACCAAAAGGAUGAUAAUAAGUCAACAAUAUUAAUGAUCACCAGUAUCCAAAGGAUGAAGGUAAGAUCAACAACGAAACUUGUUAUCACCAAAAGGAUGAUAAUAAGUCACAAACUUCAAAUGAUCACCAUCACCAAAAGGGUGAAGGUAAGAUCAAAUAACAGAACUUGUUACCACCAAAAGGAUGAUAACAAGUCAUCAACCACCAUCACCAAAAGGAUGAAGGUAAAAACAAACAACAAAGCUUGUUACCCUCAAAAGGAUGAUAAUAAGUCAACAACUCAAAUAAUCACCAUCACCAAAAGGAUGAAGGUAAGAUUAAUAACAAGACUUGUUACCACCAAAAGGAUGAUAAUGAGUCACAAUCACCAUCACCAAAAGGAUGAAGGUAUUAUUGAACAACAAAACUCGUUAUCACCAAAAUGAUGAUAAUAAGUUACAACAACUUAAAUGAUCACCAUCACCGAAAGGAUGAAGGUAAGAUCAGAACAAAACUUGUUACCACCAAAAGGAUGAUAGUAAGUCGAGACAAACUUUAAUGAUCGCCAUCACCAAAAGGAUGAAGGUAAGAUCAAAUGACAAAACUUAUUACCACCAAAAGGAUGAUAAUAAGUCAAAAACUUCACAUGAUCACCAUCACCAAAAGGAUGAAGGUAUGAUCAACAACAAAACUUGUUACCUCCAAAAGGAUGAUAAUAAGUCACAAACUUCAAAUGAUCACCAUCACCAAAAGGAUGAAGGUAUGAUCAACAACAAAACUUAUUACCACCAAAAGGAUGACAAUAAUCUUUAAUAAUGAGAGGUCUCCAUUCACCAAAAGGAUGAAGGUUGGACCCAAAACUUCAAGGAUCUUCGACACCAAAAGGAUGACGGUAAGAUCACAAAUGUCAAGGGUUUACCAUUACCAAAAGGAUAACGGUUAUCAUAAACAAGGAGAUGAUUAAUAUUAUUCCUCAAUGAACUUUCACCAAAAGAAUGAUAGUGAGAAAAAUAUUUGGAAUAAUAAAGCUACUGACAAAGUUCAAUAAACCCGACUUGUUGGGUAGUAUUAGAACGUUACUGGGUAAGACUUGCUUGGGGUAUCGACAAUAAAAGGUUGCAGAAAAAUAUUCUCUGGAAAACAUAAUUUCCAUCAACAAAAGGUUAAAAGAAACAUCUCAUCGAGGAACGCUCAAUGAGAAACAAGGUAGGGGUUUGAAGAAAAAUUGUUCGACUUAGAUGAGGGUAACACCUUAUUAACAAAAGGUUAGAGGAUGUAAAUCAACGGGGAACACCCAACAAUACAAGGUAAGAACUCACUCAGAGAAAAUAAUAAAUGACUCAACUGAGGGUUGGCCUGGACACCUACGACUAAACCUUGGAUCUUGAUUCGUGCUAUAUGCAUGAAUGUUAUGUAUGCGUUAUGUAUGAGAUGAUGUAUGCAGUGCAUGUUUGAAUGUAAAGGAUGAUUGGUUUGUUUAGAAUUGGUCCCCCCUUUUCAAAGGAGAUGUAUUUUCUGGAAACAAAUACUGGUUGUAUUUGUUUUUGUGUGGGUUCCAACAAGGUGGACUUUGGGUUUUUUGGUAAUUGCCAAUAUGAGUUUGAUUGUUGGUGGGUGAAAGGAUCUGACUUCCCGACACUUGGUAGUUUAUGAUCUGAUGAACACGCAAUGGAUGUGGAUACGCUCGAUGCCCUAAGUUUGAUUUCUUGCUGUUAUGUUGUGUCUUUGCCCCUGAGGGGAACUCGACUUCUUCUUCUGAGAUGUUGGGUCAGCUUGUAACCGAGCAUAGUGACAUGAUCAACGCAUGAUGAUUAUGCUUUUGACGUGCCGCAAGGUUUCUUGUCAAGAUGUGAUAUUGUACCGGUAUGAAGUUUUGACAUUUUGGUUGUGAUCUUAGACAGUUUCUAGUGUCUGACACAAUCUGCCUGACCGACUUGAAGAUAUGAAGUGAAUUUUCCCCUUGCAACUUGUCUUGCCCAGUCUGUAGGGUGUUCAAAGGAAUUAUCCUUGAAAGGAAACCCUUAGGAGUGAUUAUCCCAUGACAUGGUCUGAGUCUGUUUCCUCCAACGUUUGUCUCUUGUGGUGGGAUAAACACAGAAAUGGAUAACAAAUGGUUUUGAACUCGGCAUUCAUGUCGUGUGAUUUUCUCUCUUCUUCUUUUUUUCUCGUGCAUAACUCAUAGCUUUGGGGGUUUAUCCACUUUUGGCUCUUUUCAACUCAAUUCUUUGUGAGCAUUUUAAAGGUGUUAGAGUCUUAAGUCUCGGCAAGUGCAUUUUCUUUUUUUUUUUUUCUUUUUGGACAUACACAUGUCUCUACUUUUUGUAUUGCUUUUAGAUCUCUUAUUAUGCACUUGCCCUUUCUUUCAAGAUUACCACCCCAAACUUAGCUUUUUGCACAUCUUGUAACUCACAACAAUCAUGCCGAGUGAUGGGAUGAAAUGAACGAUUAAUGGUCAACAUGGGGUUUAUUACGAACAAAAUGGCUAAGGCUCAACGGGGUUCACGAAGGGUAAACAUAUAAACAUGGAUGGCUAGAAAGGCUCUGGAUUAAACAAACAACUUGCCUCAGUGCGUGUUGUCAUGCUGUGAAGUGUCAAAAGAACAUACGCAAAAUCAGAGUGAUAGAGUCAUACCUGGCUGAACUCUCAUGAUAUUUAGUGUUUGGCCUUUUUAUUCUCACCAUGUUGGUUAAACUUACAAGCUCUGAAGCCUCCUAGUGUCAUGUGGUUUCUUUUCUGAUUCGGUUCUACCAUACCGCUCUCUUGGUCCAGUGUCACCAAAUUGUGUCCGACUUUUACUUUCUCAUGGUUGCAUCAACUUCCGGGGUACCUUAAUAGAACAAGUAUGAGGGGUGUCUUUCAUCCACUACAACCGAUCCCGGAUUCGUCCACAAUUUCUCAUCACUCUGUACACACCGAUAAACAAUAAAAACAAACGUUGAAGGAAAACAUGAACAAAAUGAAAACGAAAUAAAACAUGAAAGGAAAACCCCUCCCCCCCCCCACACCUGAACUAAACAUUGACCUCAAUGUUUAAAUCCAGAUACAAAGGGGACUCACAGCGACUACUGUUGUUUUACUGCACUUGUGUGGUUUCCUUCCAUUUUGAGGUGUUUGUGACUUUAUUAAAUCCAGAUACAAAGGGGACUCACAGCGACUACUGUUGUUUUACUGCACUUGUGUGGUUUCCUUCCAUUUUGAGGUGUUUGUGACUUUGCCCUUCUAAUUCUCCUCCUCCCCUACAACAAAAUUCUAGCACACAAAAAGAAAAAGAAAAACGAAAUAAAUUAGAAAUCAAACGCGUGGGUUGCCUCCCACGAAGCGCUUCCUUUAACGUCGCAUGGCUCGACGGUUCAUUUCCCUUAUCAUGGGGGGUAUUUCAGGUUCAAAACCUUGUUGCACCUCUUGUCUCUAACUCGGACGUUGUCUCUUUUAUCAGUGUUGACUCCUUUGCACCACGUUCCUUUUUAACCUUCCUUUCGAUGUUAGGAAUCUUCCCGUUUAGGGUGGCUACUGGCAGUGGUGAGACUUUGAUAGUAUUCAAUGUCCUGAUUAAGCCUACUUGAUACUGAGAUUUUGUAUCUUCCUCCAUAUCCUGGUCUUCAAUAGCUUUCAAUGUUAUUUCCUUGUUGUGAACUUUCAAGGUUAACGUGCACUCAUCCAUGUCGAGCUCGCAUCGACUCGUCUUCAUGAAAGGUCUACCCAGAAUGAUGGGUGCCUCAUUGUCUUCAGGUAUGUCUAGGAUUACAAAAUCGACUGGGAAAGUCAAGUCCGCUAUUGUUACCAACACAUCUUCAACCAUACCAUACGCAUCUUUUCUUGAGUGAUCCGCAAACUUCAGAUUGGUCUUUAUAUCACUGAUAUUUCUAAUACCCAGCCUGUGAUAGAUCGAUAAUGGCAUCAGAUUCAUACUAGCUCCAUAACCUAUUAGUACCUUUUUGAAGGUUCUUUCUUUGAUUGUGCAUGGUACUGUGACGGUUCCUGGAUCCUUUUAUUUGUUAGGAAUGUUCUGCUCCAGGGAGUUUGCAUUAUAUUGUUCCUUACCGGAUACCUGUUCUUCAGUGGUUGGUUUCUUUUCAGCCAUUACCUCUUCCACGAAUUUCUUGUACAUGGGCAUCCUUUCAAGUGGUUCAAACAAAGCCAUAUGACCCUCAAUCCUUUUAAACAUUGUCAUGAAUUUCUCCAAGUCUGACUCACUAGGUUCCUUCUUUGUCAUUCUCUGAGGGUAGGCAACUUAAUCACCGGUUUAGUUCCUUUUGUAGUUUCUUCUUGAGUCGGCUCUCUCGGUGAUGUAAUUUUUUCUUUUUAGCAGCCUUUUUCUCUGUCGUCGUGACAGUAUUAAACAUCUCUGACCUCUCGGAUUUUGAACUGUUUCACUUGGUAGGGAACCUGGUGUUCGAGAACUUGCCAGUUGCUGGGCUAUCUGCCCCAGCUGAACUUCGAGAUUCUUUAGGGAUGCGGCGAUGUUUUUCUGAUUGUUUCUAGUCUCUUCUUCAAAUUGCCCAUUUUGAGCUGCCGUCUUUUCAAUUGCAAUCUCCCAAUCUGCCUUCUUUGGGACUUGAUUUUGCUGUUGCUGAUAUUGGUUUUGAUAUUGGCCUUGUACUUGCUGUUGCACAUUCCCUUUCUGAUCCCUCCAUGCAAAGUUUGGAUGAUUCUUCCACCCCGGGUUGUAUGUGUUGGAGUAGGGAUUGUUUUGCUUUAAAAACUUGAUAUCUUCUAUCUGUUGCGGUGUUGCAAAGCAAUGAACAGUAUUGUGUGGUCCAUUACAAAUGCCACACACAUCGUUAGGUGCCUGUUGUACUUGAGCCACUUUCUGCGCACCUAUGUUUAGUGCCUUCAACCUUUUCUCCACCUCUGCAACAACUGCUUCUUCAAUUUUUACCUGUUUGUUUAUUUUAAGCUUCAAAUCAAUUACUGCAGAUUUGCUUGACACCCUAUCAUACAACUCCAGAUGCUCAUUUGAGGAAAUUGCUUCAAUUAUCUUCUUCAUACCGGUGGCUGUUGCAAAGUUAGCUGAGCCACCAGCUGUUGAGUCAAGGAUUUGUCUCGUUUGAAUUCGAAGACCAUUAACAAACAUUUGCAUCUGCUCAGUUUCAUCCAUGUUGUGAGUAGGACAAGCCACUAGGAUUCUCUUGAAUCUUUUAUAGGCAUCUCCUAUCGUUUGAAUUCGAAGACCAUUAACAAACAUUUGCAUCUGCUCAGUUUCAUCCAUGUUGUGAGUAGGACAAGCCACUAGGAUUCUCUUGAAUCUUUUAUAGGCAUCUCCUAGUGACUCACCCUCCUUUUGCUUGAAGUUUAGGAUCUCCUAUCUUUUUCUCAGUGACAUAGAUGCGGGAAAAUAUUCCUGCAAGAAUGUUGUUUCCAUCUGCUCCCAUGUAGUGAUACUGCCAGCCGGUAAGGAAUAGAAUCACUCUUCGGCUUCAUCUGCUAAAGUGAAUGGGAACAUACGAAGCCUUAUUGCUUCUUCGUUAUGUCCAGGCAUUUUCAGCGUUGUGCUCAUAGUUAAAAAUCUUUGCGGAUGCUUGUUGGCAUCUUCAUUCACUCUUCCAGAAAAGGACCGCCUUUCGAGUUGAUUAAUUAUGCUGGGAUGCAAUUGAAAUUGUUUUACAUUAACCGGGUGGUUUACAAUUGUCAUCCGACCACCCGGAGUGUUGGUUCCACCAUUGUCACCGAGAAGUCUCUCGGGUGGUGGUGGUGGUGGUGGGUUUGCAGCCAUGAUUUCAGGAACUAUUUCCGCGUCUGAAUCUGAAUUCUCUGAGUGCACUGAAACAACUUCCUCCUCUGCUUUCUUUGCUAAUUCCAGUUUUUCUCUCUUAGCUUGUCUUAGUCUAGCACGAAGAGUUCUUUCUGGAUCUGCGUCAAAAGAAAAAUCCGCUGAGGCCUUACCUCGCAUAAACAAGUUAGACAAAUAUUAGAAUUGAAUAACAAGAUUGUCACAGAUAAAAUUUUGGUUGACGAGCAGAUAUAAAUUCACAAAACCAACCAAACCCUUGUCUUUUUGUUCAAAUAGAAUCAGAAGUAAAAUAAGUAUUUCCCCCGCAAUCCCUGAGAUCGAUACUUGGAAAUAAAAUCCUAUUACAUCAAUCGCGUAAAAAAGUACACUUGCUAAUUCCGAUCAAGUUUUUGGCGCCGUGUCGGGUAAUGCCAAAUAAAACCUAUUUUAAUUUUUAAUUCUUAUUAUGAAAUUUUACAAAAAAAGUUGCUCAGCAAACCAAAAAAUAUUUAUAUGCCUGUAGUGACACACAUCUUAUCAAUCUAAUAUUGAUACGCCAAAAUUAAACAAUUGUUUAUGCGAGACAGUAAGCCUCAAGCGGAUUUUCUUUUAUGACGACAAUCCACGAAAGAACUACUUCGUGCUAGCACUAGAGACAAGCAAACGGAGAAGAAAAACAAUGGAAUAGCAAAGAAAGGCAGAGGAGGAGGAAAGAUUGUUUCAGUGCAACUCAGGAGAAUUCCGAUUCAGACGCGGAAAAUAAAUACAAAAAUCGUUCCUCGACAAUAUCAAAUGGCAAUGCAAAACACCCACACCACACAACAACAACACUCCAAACCACACCACACACCUGAGAAAAAAACUUAUCGAACCAAGAUAACAAGAUUGAGUGGAAAACCAAACCACUCCGGGUAGUGGACGAUGACAAAAUGUGAAACACCCAGGUAUGAUUAAAAACACAUUAAAUUACAAUUGUACCCAGCAAUAAUUAAAAUGCAAACUCGAAAAGAACGACACGUUCAUUUAUAUAAAUCUGGAAAGAUAAAAAAAGAUACAGCGAGUAAACAACAAAACAUUGUUGAAUGAAAAAAUGGUAGGAACCACAAACAAAAGAAAAAAGCAAACAAAAAAUACAAACCAACGAGGACAAAAAAACAAAAAAAGAAGAAAAGAGAAUAAAGAGAAAUAAUUACUUAACUCAUGAGCCAACAACGGCUUGAGAAAAUGCCCUGAACCAUAACGAAGAAGCAAUUAAGGAGUUCGCUAGUCCAUUACUCUUAGCAGAUGAAAGUCACGAAGGAGGUGAUAUACAUCAUCAAACUUAAAGCCGAAAAAAAGUGCUCGGCCAAAGAAUCAACCACAUCGGAGCAAGAGUGGAACUAUAAAACACAACAUUCUUGCAGGAAUAAUUAGUCGACAUAUAUAGAGUCCACUAGGAGAAAAAAAAAGAAAUAAAAAAAAAAAGAACCAAAGCAAUUAAAAUAGCAAAAACAGCAGCCUGGGCAUUGUUACAGGAAGCAUCAAUCAAAUAAACCAACACAAAACACGAAAUUCAAAUUUCUGGAAAAAUUAAAAACAUGUAAGCUACAUUGAACAAGCCAGGGUUCUAUGGUUUUUUUAGAAAACAACAGCCAUAACAACCACAUCAUCAUUCAAAACAGCAACCAAAAACAACAGCAUUACAAAAUAUGCUAUUUCGACAGUGGAAUUCUCUUUCUGAAAGACAUGACUGAUUUGGCAACUAACAUAACCAGCUGCAUUCAUCAUCCUUCUACUAAUGUUAACCUACAUCAAUCAUAUAACAAGAUUUCAGAAUAGAGAAAGGCCCUAGUUCACAGAGGUGAACAUUCCCUCCCUCUCUUGGCAACCUAAGACAAGAGUCCUCUCCGUUUCACUACCUCCUGCCGAUUCCCCGGUUGUUCCCCCCCCCCCCCUCCCCCCGUUGUUGAGAGCAGAUUACCUCCUUGUGAAGUUUUAGCACUCUCCGCACAUUCUUCCUUUUUUCUCCAUGACCCCAUAGAGCGGGGACCAUCUCCUCCGCAAGCGGCACCCCCCCAUAAGCCAAAACCAAACACAAACAACCAAAUUCGGAGCCCAAGUAUGCUGGGCUAUUGUUAUUUGUUCAAACAACAGCAAAGCAAUCAUGUUCAUCAUGCAAUCAAACAGUCGAUCACAAUUGAAACUCAAACUAGCAGUGGGCGUAGCAAACAUGGGCAUUUGGUACAAGUUUGUUCAUGCCAACAUCACUUCACUCACACAAUCUGUCCCAAAAGUCUAAUUAAUUGUUUAACAACAGACAAGCAUAAGGCAAAGGAAAUUCCUGAUGAUGGCGCAGAGCUAAUAUUAUGAACCACAACCCAAACAGGUUAAUUAGCGAAUAUCAGAGAAUUCCUACAUCUCGCAUGGCUUCUCUCAAUUAUACAUCAUAACAAGUGUCGUGGAGCAAUAGGAAACCACAAUCAACCCAAAAUGGCCGUUAGCAUUGUGGCUUCGUCGCUAUUAAUGGAACAUCACAGGCCUUAGCAACAUCAACAACAACCAAAUUCUACAAACAUAUAGACACGUGUGGUGCAUCAUANUGGUUGGUUUUGUGAAUUUAUAAUAAUAAACACAAAAAGAUAGUAGAAAUAAUUGAUUAAGAUAAAAUAUGCUAGGGUGAGUGGUUGAUUUAACCAGUUAUGAAUUCAGUCAAGAUUUCCUUAAUACACAUGAAACAUUCAAUUACCUAACCGCAUAAUGUUCUUCCUUAAGUCCUUAAGGAAGAAACUAUUAAACUACCAAUUCUUACUCAAAUGUCCAUUCAAUUAAUCAUUGGUUUUAAUCAUAAACAAUAUCAAGGUUUAUGGUGAUUCACAAAUGUUCCUAGUCCUAGGUGAUGCAAUUAUAAACCCAAUUGUGUGAAAACACUAACAAUCACAAUCCUGUUAUUGAUAGUCAUAGAUCUAUUUGUAUUUGUCUGAUACAAAAGCAUAAGCACAUCAGACAAUUGAAUUGAAAUUCGUAACAUAGUAAUAAGGAAAUCCAUAGAUAGAAUUCAUAACAUCAGACCAAAUCAGGACCACCCCCCUAGCAUUGGGGGUUUAGCCUCUCAUAGUAUUCAAAGAAAUCAUAGUAUAGAAAUUAAACAUUACAAAGAAUGAGGAGAUUUUGAUCUUCAAUGGGUGAUGCCCUUGAAUCUCGCCGUCUUUGAAUCCUCCGUAGUAGCUAUCUUCUCCGGUGCAAUGUUUCUUUUCGUACGUCAAAAAGUGUCUUCUCUAUCUCUCCAAAGUCUUUUAAUAGCCUCAGAUGGUUUUUCCCCAGUAAGAAGUCCAAAAUACCCUUAAUGAACAGGGCAGAUCCACACAACAAAAAGUAAAAUUUCUCAGCCGCGCCCAUCAACACUGGCAGUGUGGAUACACAUGGGUGCCCGUGUUGAUUCACACGGGCCGUGUGAAUUUACAUGGGUACCCGUGUUGUUUUCAAGAGUUAUGUUUUUUAAAGCAAGCUACAGAGGCAUCAACACGGGCCGUGUUGAUGCACACGGGUGCCCGUGUUAACCCUCUAUUUUACCUCCUGGAGUGCUUGUUUCCGGACAAACAACACGGGCCGUGUUGAUGUACACGAGGGCUCGUGUUGACCUACUGUAUCUUCAUAUUUUGGCCUUCCGGAGCAUCCAAUACUCGGCUAUUAGUCCUUUGGAACCUAUGCACAACCUGCAACAUUAACACUACCAAAUCGAAGCAUAAAAAGAGACUUUUUGACAUAAACAAGUAACAAAAUGCAAUGCACUAAUAAACUAACAAAACUUGUUAAAUGACUUUAAAAUAACUAAAAACAACCACAAGUCUGACCAAACUGAUGAAAAUAUGUCGGAUAAAAGGUGGGAAUUCAAUGGAAAUGGUGACCGAUCAUCGGUUAUUCUUCUGUGCUUCAGCCAAGCUGACUCACCGAUACAACACUCGCGCCAAUCAACCCAAGAUCUUGGAACAUUUGGAACAAGAGAACAAGGAGCUGAAGGAUGAGAUUGCAUGGUUGACUUCCAUGAUGGAGGUUGUUCUUGCUCCGCAUAAUCAGUCUUCACCAACUCCCGCAACUCCUCCAUAGAGGAUUGUCGUUUCUUAGGUUUCUACCUCGACUAUUCCUGUUGAUGUUAGCCAAUCCGGGUUUUCUAUGCCUGCUGGAUUCCCAUAGGAAAUGCCGCCAACAUUUGUGCCUGAAGGGUUUAUGCCUACCUUUGUUUCUAUGCCAGAAUCUAGCCCGAUCAUGUCUAUGCCUCCUCUAGUUGUUCAUACUUUGCCUCGUGUUGAGGGCACCAUCAACCAUUCUGAGACAUCUGAGGGACCAGAUGUUUAUGAGAAGAUGGAUGAAAUAAAGGAUCGGUUCCUUGAGUUGCAAAAAGAGAUGAAAACAUUGAGAGGAAAGGACCUGUUUGGUAAGAGUGUUGCUGAACUCUACUUGGUACCAAAUGUGAAAAUCCUGAUGAAGUUCAAGGUCCAUGACUUUGAAAAGUAUAAGGGAAAUGCUUCUCUAUUUAGUCACCUUGUUAUGUACGCCAGGAAGAUGUCAACUCAAACUAAUAAUGAUUAGUUGUUGAUUCACUAAUUUCAAGACAGUUUAAUCGGUGCUACUCUGAGAUGGUAUAUGGAUCUAGACAGUGCAAGUGUUCAUACUUUCAACGAUUUGGGUAAAGCUUUUGCUAAGCAGUACAAGUAUAAUGUGGAUAUGGUGCCUGAUAGACACCAAAUAAGGUAUAUGUCUCAGAAGGAUAAGGAGACGUUUAAAGAGUAUGCUCAGAGGUGGAGGGAACUUGCUGCUCAGAUUAAUUCUCCAUUAGAAGAGAAAGAGAUGACGAAGAUUUUCCUUAAGACCUUGAGUUCAUUUUAUUACGAACGUAUGAUUGCCAGUGCCCCUAGUGACUUUACCGAAAUAGUAAACAUGGGGAUGAGGUUAGAAGAGGGAGUCCGUGAUGGACGUCUGUCUAAGAAAGAAGCGUUGUCCAAUAAGAAGUAUGGAAGUGGUUUCUCCAAAAGAAAAGAGGCGGAAACUAAUUCACUAUCUGUAGGGAGGCUGAGGAGGCCUCAUGUUAGAAGGAGUUCCCAACCACGUCAGCAUCAACAUCAAGUCUUUUCAGUGAUUCCCGUCUUUUCCAAUAGUUCCAUUAAUCAACUUGUUCCAAUUCAACAACAACAACAACGUCAACAACAACCGCAGCAAAGAACCACCACCACCACCAACAAUAAUCAACAAUAAAACUUUGAGAGGAAGAAGGUCUCUUUUGACCCUAUUCCUAUGUCAUACGCCGAAUUAUAUCCAUCCUUGGUUCUCAAGAACCUACUUCAACCCAGAAAUCCACCGCAAAAUCCCGAGCCACUUCCAUGGUGGUUCAAACCUGAACUCCGUAGUGCCUUUUACCAAGGAGCCCCUGGCCAUGACAUUGAUAACUGCUAUCCAUUGAAGUAUGAAGUACAAAAGCUUGUGAAGAGUGGGAUGGUGUCGUUUAAGGACCGUGCGCCUAAUGUGAAAGCCAAUCCUUUACCUGCUCAUGGUAAUGCUUCAGUCAACAUGGUUGAUGGUUGUCCUGGGGAGUUCAAUAUUUAAGACAUCCACUAUAUCAGAAGGUCCUUAGUGGCAAUGCAUAAGGAUAUUCGUAUGGUUAGUGAAUGUGAGCAUGACCAUGAUGGUUGUGCAAUCUGUAGUGUGAACCCUCGAGGAUGUGUUAUUGUCAAGAGGGAUAUUUAAAGGUUGGUGGAUGAAGGUCUUAUCCAAAGUUUUCAAUCCCGUCACUUGGGAAAUGAUGUUAAUGUGAUUGUUCCUAUGUUUAAGACCCCUGAGUGGGUAGUAAUCCAGUUCAAUAGUAGUAGCAGUAACAACGUUAAUAGAUCGGUAUCAUCGUUAGUAAUACGGUUAACAGGCCCCAUCCCGUAUGCAUCCGAUAAAGCUGUGCCUUAUCAGUAUAAUGCCACAAUGGUGGAGAAUGUCCAAGAGGUUCUGUUUCCCGUAGCAGAUUUUGUGGUGAAUAUAGCUGAUAUUGCAAAGGUGACCCGUAGUGGUCGUGUCUUCAGCCUGUAAGAAGGUGGAUGUGCCUGUGGUGAAUCCAGUUAGUGCUCCAGUUUGUCAGUCUGGUGAAUCCAUCAAGCUGAAGCCUAAUGAUAAUGAUGAAGUUUUGAGGUUGAUAAAAAGAAGUGAAUUCAAUGUGGUGGGGCAGCUUAUCUAAACCCCAUCAAAGAUUUCAGUGUUGUCUUUGUUCAUGAACUCCGAAGCACAUAGAGAAGUGUUGCAGAAAGUCUUAGAGCAAUCCUAUGUUGAGCAUGAUAUCACUGUGUGUAGCGGUAAAUUCAUGAUCAUCCAGCUAUGGAUAAGCUGGAGAUCAAUAAAACCAGAGUCGCCACCGCGCUUUUAUUAUUUUCAAGGGAAAAGGGAAAAAGUACGAACAAAACCCAAAAGUAAGAAGUUUUCAAAUCAAAACUAAUAAAAUGUCAGAGAUUACAGGUAAGGGGGUUGGUUACACAGAGGGAAGGUGUUAGAACCCAAAGUGUUCUAGGUACUCCAAGGGAGCCCUUUCUUGUGUGCGUAUGUAUUUUGUACAAAGUGAUGUUUACAAACAAAUAGAAUGGAGGGAUGAGAAAAGAAUUCAUUAAUUAUAUUUUUAUGUUUGAAAAGACCUUCGGACUUAUGCCUACAUACUGUAAGACCCUAAUUUUGACCCUAAGAUCCCUCAUGGCAUCAUAACAUUGCAUUUGCAUCAUAGCCUCAAGGAAAAUUUGCAUCUUGGUUCCCUUUGCCUUUGGGUGGGAUCUCUUGAGAUUUGGUUUGAGAUCACCAAGCAUGCUUGAAUUGUAUAUUAUUGCUUUUCUCAUUUUAUUUACUAACCAAAAGCACAAAAAUAUGUCACUAACAUCUUUUGUUUGUAGCUUGAGCAGUCAGUAUAUUAUUGCUUUUCUCAUUUUAUUUACUAACCAAAAGCACAAAAAUAUGUCACUAACAUCUUUUGUUUGUAGCUUGAGCAGUCACAAGGUCUAAAGCUUCUAGGAGAUCCUAUGUGCAUUGAUAUGGUUAAGAGAAGGUGAAAGCAAGCAUGGAAAUGGUUCCUAAAGCUAUCAUCCAUCAAAUAUGCCUCCCAAGUAUCUCAAUUUAUCAUUUUGAUCAAAGCAAACAAGGGGCUUGAGGCUUGUUUUCCAAGGGAACCCUACUUCAUCUGUUCAUCAACUAUGCCUUGCUCAUGAAGCAACCUCAGCCCAUGAUCAAAUUCAAUCAAGGGAAGUUCUUUAAUUCAUCAUUUCAUGCAUAUUUGAACUUAUUUGAGUGUCCUCAAUCAUCAACUCAUCAAGAUAUGAGUUUUGGACUUGAGAAGUUGAUCAGUCAAUUCAUCUAACCAUUUUGAAAUGCACUGAGACCUAACUUUUUAUGUGUUUGUCAAAUGGAGAUUACCCCAAGAGAAAAAAUGUUCUUAAGUAAUAUAUGAACAACUUUCAUGUUCAUCAAAAUUGAUUUGAAGCUUGGAAGGUCAUCAUCCAUUCCAAGACAUUAUAGGUCAUUUUGACUGAAACCCUAAUUUUAGGUCAACUUCCUAAGGACAUAACUCCUACAUUUUUCAUGAUUUUGAGGUGAGAUCUAAUGAAUUGGAGAGAGUAAGAUAUCUAAUUCAAAUGUUAUGUUUAGCAAAAUUGAAAAACCUCAAAAGAAAUACAUGUUAUAAUGCAAAACAUUAUAGGUCACUUUGGACCAAAUGCAUUGAAAUGUGAAAAAGUCCAACUUCAAGUGCCCAUAACUUCUUCAUCAAAAAUCCAAAUGAUGAAAAAUUUAAGUCCAAAUUGAUUGCCUUGAGACGAUCUACAACUUGCAUGUUGAAUAUUUUGUCAUUUGUAGUUUUCAUCAUUGAGACAGAAGGGCUUGAACAUUGGCCAAUUUUGAAAAUUUCACAUAUGCAUGUUUUGCACCCUACACUUCAAGUUCAAUUUUCAUUAAUUUCCAAGGCCCAAAUGGAGUUUUGAUCACAUUGGCCAAUUUUGAAAAUUUCACAUAUGCAUGUUUUGCACCCUACACUUCAAGUUCAAUUUUCAUUAAUUUCCAAGGCCCAAAUGGAGUUUUGAUCAACAUAACAUUUGUUCCUUAUGCAAUAAGAUUUCCAACCAUUACCCAUAAGGCUAUGUUUCAAUUUUGGAAGUAUCAUUUUCGAAGAGGGGAACUUUUAGUGCAUUUUUGGAAACUUGAUUCAAUUGCCAUGCAUGAUCCAAAUACAUAUCUUCUGCACGUCCAAAACAUAUUUGGUGAUGUUUAGCUUACCAUUCCAAUCAGAAUUGGGCCCUCCAUGCGCCUGUACUGGCCCAUGCAUGGAGGGCCUUUUCAUCCAUGCACACACUUUGCUCAUGCUUGCAGCUCCCUUCAUCUAUAAAUACAAGGCCUUGGCUUCAUAAUUGGACAACCUGAAGUCACCUGUUAUGCUGCACGAAUCCCUCCAUAGCCAUACUUAAAGGAACUUUCUCUUUUUCUUCAAAUUUUCAGAUCUAAAUUUCAGCUACACUGGUUGAUUUCUAGAUCUAUAGUUCCUAAACCUUGCUCAUCUUCAUCACUAGACUACACUGCAAGCAUUAGCAAAGGCGAAUUGUGCUCUCAAGAUCCACAUUUCAAAGGUGGAUAUCAGAACUUAUUUUCUCCGAAACUCUUUAUUCAUAGCUUAUUUCUUACAUUUGCUGGGUUGUGUGAAGUCCUCUCAAUAGAGGCAAUUGUUUUGUGCUUUGAAUUUUGCAAAUCCAUCAAGUUUCAGUUGAACACCAUAUUUUUCAACCUCUGAUUUCUCUCUCCAUGAAAGUCUAGAGUGAAAAUAGAUGGUACAGGGGUGAUGUACAUCACCCCAGCUUUACAUUGUUGUAUAGAUCGCCUCAUUUGGUGAAGGUUUAUUUUCUGCAACUCUCGUCGGAAUCUCUGGUCUCGCCGGAGAAGACGGUGGUGUACACCACCGUCCGUUUGCCAGUUUUGAUCCAGGUCGUUGAUGAUGAUUCCCAGAUUGAAUCAGGGCUCUUGGAUCUUAUGACUUUUUUUAAGUGUUUAUGUUGCUUAGUUGACUUAGGUCCAUGAUACGCGCGCAUGCCACAACCGUCUGAUCUGCCAGGUCAAUUAAUGAAUUGAAUCCAACGCGUGUGGUUUUUCCUAAUUUUCUAUUUCUGAUUUUAAUUUCCAUUUUAUUUCUCUUAUUCCAUUUCAUUUCAAAAAAUCAUAUCUCAUUCAUUAUUGAUCCAAAAAAUGUGAGACCAAUUGCAUUAUUUCUCUUUUAAUUUCUAGUUUCUAAAAAUGAUUUUUAAUAUUUUUUAUUUUAUCAUUUGAUAUUUUUCAUGAAUUUUCUCUUUUCUGGUUAUUUUUAAAUUUGAAGUUUGACCUUUCUUUAUUAUUUUAAUUCAAGUUUUAUUUAAAUAUUAAAAAAUGCCAAAAAUAUUUUAUUUGUUUCUUGACUUCUAAUUCUCAUUUUGCUUCUGUUUUCUAUUAUUUGACCUUGAUCUUCUCUAUCAUUGGUCAAUGUUUGUUGAUUAGUACAUACCAUUUCCAUCAAUGCACUUUAAUUCUUCAUUUUCUUCUUCUUCUUCUUCUUCUUUUUCUUUUUUGGAUCAAUGAGUUAAAGAUUGGUGGUUAGCAUUGAUUAGGGAGGUUUAAUCUUCCUUGAUUCAAAUCUAAUUCAUCUUUAUCAUGGAUCAAGUGAAUGGCUUUGCAUUAAGGAUAAAUUGCUUCCUAAAUCAUGCAAAGAACCUAAAUCAAUACAAGAUCAUUUCUCAUCUUCUUUUUGGCAUGGAAAGUUGUUGGAGUUUGAUUCACUAAUCAAGACCUCUAACUUGUGUUGUUGCCUACAUUAUUAUUGACCGGCCUCAGAUAGUUAUAGUUGUGACUUCUACAUAAGUCCAAUUACGAUUGCUUAACAUAGCGCUAAAUUUGCCUUAUGGCACACUAACUACUAACAUUAACCAUUAACCAUUAACAUUUAAUUCUUGCUCUUUACAUUUAUGAUAUUUAUUAUUCUUGUACAUAUUAUUCAUUUUCUUUUUCCUUUGCUCAUUUGAGCACAUGUUUAUGUUAAUGCAAUUUGCCUUUUGCUCACUUGAGCAUAUAAUUGUGUAUAUAUUAUUGUGCUUGUGUUUUGUUUAAUUGUUAUGGACCAAAUGCAAAGAAAUAGACAAAUGGACUUAGUUUCUAGGAUAUUCCCUAUGCAAAUUGGAGUAAAAGGAUCUUAAUAUUGAAGAUGGAUUGGAAGGACCAAACCUCUAAACUCACUCUUGUCCAUUCUUGAUUUGCUUCAUAAGACUCUUUGAUGUGUGUGUGCUUUUGUGCUAGGGGAUCCUAUGAGAUAUCAAAUUGAAGAAUCAUUGCCAUGUUCAUCCAAAUUGAAAGAUACAAGAGGCAUUGGGGAUCUUCUAAGAGCUUGUUUGAUUAUGUUGAUUGCUUGAGCUUACUAUUAUUUUGCUUGCAUAUUCCAAAGGAUGGGAGCUACUUGGAUCAUCAAUAUGAUCACAAGAGAGGAACUCCAUUUGUGGUCUUAUUUCUUAUCCCUUAUCUCUUAUAUGACUAGGACUUUAGCCAUUCUUUUCCCUUCCUCCACUCUAACCCAAGCUAAAACUUUUGUGCAAACAUUUAACACCUCUUUCUACACAUUAGAAACCUAAGCCUUAUGCUUUUCAUUUUCAAACUUCCUUUUAAUAACACUUAUUUUGAAUUGAAUCUUUAAGUCAACUUUGACCAUAUUUUGUAAAUACUUUUCAUUGGUAAAUAUAACCCAUUCAAAUACUUUUGUGGUUUCAAUGGCCAUUUCUAAUCAAAAUUUUUUCAUAACCUUUAGCUAUUAGGUUUGAGUUAUCCUUGAGGUUGAUGUAAUACUCACCUAUAUCCUUAGUGAUGGACAAUGAGUCUUCCAUGCUUAUUAUAGGGUUAACCCCUCACUAGCAUGUUAAAGCUAUCCUCACAUGGUGGAUUUGUGGUUUAGGUUGAGUUUUCUCCCUUGGAUAACAAAAGACCUUAAGGCUUUUGGACCAAUCAAUUCACCAACUCAUUUUUAAUAUUUUUACCCCGAACUACGAGGUUUUGAUCCUAAUCUUUUUUAAGAUGGUACGUAGGCAAUGGGUUUAUCCAUCCAAACACAAAAGGUAAAUAACUUGUAUAUUCUCUUCUCAUCUCUUCAAUCGUGUUUGCACAAACAAAUUUUCACAAAAUACCAACCUUACAACAAGUAUGAAAAUAGCUCCCUAGGAGUACCUAGGAUGUUUUGGGUGCUUAAAACCUUCCCAUUGCAUAACCAACCCCCUUACCCCGAUCUCUGACAUUUUUACUAGUUUUUGAUUCGAUAAAACUUUUAGGUUUUUGUUCAUAACCAUUCCUUUGGAUAAAUAGAAGUGCGGUGGCGACUCGACUUGUAUGGUUUACCUUGGAUUUAGUCAAUAUCUCUAAUGGUAACGAAUACCCUGCUACAGAAAAGUGGCGACUCUGCUGGGGACAUUUGCCUAGUGGGUUUUUCCUACUGUAAUACCCCAAAAUUUACCCUUCAUUUUUUCUGGAAGCAUGGGAUUAUGUUUUACAUUUCAUUAGCAUCAUACUAGGUCAUACUCAUUGCAUACUGCAUUAGUGACAUGGAAAUCAGGUUUUGAUUGAUCAUUCCUUGACAGAAGGAGCCCACAUAAAUCAAGAUUUAGAAUUGGACUUCAUUCUCUAAGAAUACAAGUCUCAAAGGUCUCGGGGGGCUCUAGGUGUCUUAUUAUGGUCCUUAGCUCAUCAGUGAAAGAUUCAGAGCUAUCAGAGUGUUCAUCUAGAUUUAAUCAAGAAAUUAGGGUUUAAGGCUACCUGCAACAGGCAAUGUUUGGUUGGAAGUAGAGGAGCUCAUCCAUGUCAUGAUUGGAGAGGCAUCUUGGCCUAGGAAGACUCACAAUUAUCUCAGAAAGAUCCAUUGGCAAGCAGUGCAACAGUCCCUAAUCAUUUUGCCCCAAAUUAGGGUUUGGUAUAAAUCAGCUUAUUUCUGAUUCUUUGGGUGAAACUAUUUUCCCAUGGCCCCAUAUGUCCACAUGGGUCUACAUACAAAAAAUCAGCUCUUUAUUUGAGUCAGAAGUGCUUCAAUUGAUCAAUGGAAUCGGGAAUCAGAUAGUUUGGGAAAAGUCAACUGUGGGCCAAGAAAGUCAACUCUUGACAUUUGGAGAGUGGAAUCUCAAAUCCAUGCCUAGGGGAUCCAUCAUGUGAAAUUGUCAGUUGGAUCUUGGAUUCAUCAUUUAAUCAGGAAUUGGAAAAGUUACUUAAUUUGGAAAUGGUUGACUUUCCAUUUAGGGCAAGUUUUCAUGAUUGUUGCACUCACUUUAAGCCCAUUUUCCAUCAAAAUAAAAGCUCCAUUUGAAAUUUUCUCCAACAUGAAAAUUGUUCAUCUUGUUCCAAGCUUUCUAGAUAUAUAAAGUUUUCUCCAUUUGGAUCAAAGUUGAAAAACUUAUGCUUGGUCAAAGUGACACAUUUAUUUAGGAUCUUCAAAGUUUGUCAAGACUUCUUGGCCAGUUUUCUUGCACUUCAAGGCACCAAUUGAAAAUGUUUUCUUCACAAUAAUUAUACCUUUCCAUGUCCUCUUUCACCUCCUUUUGGAAUCAUCUCAUUUGGAUCCAUGGUUUGAGAGAUGGAUUCAUCUAAAGUUGGCAUCAUGACUUGAAUUUCUAGGCAGCAUGUUAGGCCAAACUGGCCCAACCAUUUUGGCAUGGUGAGACCUGAACUUGAGGCCCAUUUUUCACCUUCUUCCAUUCAUCAUUUAGGCAGCAUGUUAGGCCAAACUGGCCCAACCAUUUUGGCAUGGUGAGACCUGAACUUGAGGCCCAUUUUUCACCUUCUUCCAUUCAUCAUUUCCACUUGUGCUCAACAUGAAAGAUGCUAUACUCCAUGGUCUUGCUACUGUUUGCAUCAAAGAUACAUGGCCACAAAGUCACCAUCUUGUGUAAGAGCCCAUUAAGAAUAUAUGACCCAUCAUAUGUAAGAACAAAAACCCUAAAUCUGAAGGUCAUAGUGAAUUUUAGAGCUAAGCAAGGAGGGAGUUCAUUCAAGUCAGAUUUCAUUUCUUUUCCAUUUCUCAAAGUUGAAGUUUCAAAGCACCAUUCUUCUUCCAUUUUCUCCACAACCAAGAGGCAGUGGACCUAGCUUCCACUAGGUAAUCAUCUUACUCCUUCUUCCAUGGCCAUGUAUAGCUUAUUAUGCUCAUCAUUAUGCUUGCUUCAUGCCAUUACCAUGCUCAUCAUCAUGCUGGUUUCCAUGUUAAUAUUAUGCUAUGCUCAUUUCUGAAGCCCUCAACAUGAGACAAUGUUCAUGUUGUGGAUUUGUUUUGUUUAUUUCUGCUCACACUCGUGGCCAUGUUGUCCUCUUGUUGUCAAUAUUUCUCCAUGAUUAAGCCAUCAUUUAACCUAAAACAAGUCACCAUGUUAAUCCUUGCAUUUCAUACUUGAUGUCUGGUUUUUAUUUCGUGUCUUUUGGUGCACUAUGGCAUGCGCAUUCUUGAGUGGAAGUUUGGAAAAACUCACUUCAUUUUCGCGAUUUCUGCAUGAUUAUGGCAUUAGGGUUUGGUUUGAGGAAGGAGAUGAUUACGUGUCAUCUUAGGAACCGUUAGAUCCAAGGCAUGUGUUUUAAUCCUGGCCAUUUAUUUGUUUUUGUCCUCUAGUGACUUAAGUACCCGUGACCAAUUGAUACAAGGUUACUUGAUUUAAUUUAUUAAAAUGUUAUUUGUUGUCACGCUGGUUUAAUAAUUGUUUGGACUGGGCCUGCGCUUUCCCGCUCUCCACACCCCCAAGUUCCAGGGCCCAUCAACACUAAUACUUUCUCUUUUCAUUUUCUUUUUUUAAUUUCCAUUUAUUUGCUGUUUUGAUUUUAAUUAUUUUAGAAUAUUUUCUUUAUUCAUAAAAAUCCCCAAAAAUAUUGUCCACAUUUCUUAAUGCCUUAUUUAAUUUUAUUUAAUUUUUAUUUUCGUAUUUAUUUAAUGUUAAUAUUUUAUUUCAAUUAUUAAUUCUAAAUGGUUCUUUUAAGCAUACCUUNUUUAUUUAAUUUUUAUUUUCGUAUUUAUUUAAUGUUAAUAUUUUAUUUCAAUUAUUAAUUCUAAAUGGUUCUUUUAAGCAUACCUUUAAUUCUUGAUUUUAUUUUCAUGGCUUAAAAUUAUUUUUAGCCUUUGAUUUUUGGGAUGAAGGUUGACCACUGUCCCAUGGUCAACCUGACAUUUUCUUGAUUUUUUAUUUCACAAUUUUCUAUUUAUUUGAUAACUAUUUUGGUUGGUUGACUUUUAGUUUGACCUUUAUUUUAUUUCAAUUAAUUCAUGAACCAAUUUUCAUUAUUUUUGAAAUCUUUUUGGGGGAUGAUGAUGUCCUGACCCCACCUCAUUUAGUUUAAUUUUUCAUAAUUUUCUUGAUUAAUUUGCUAUUUAUUUGACAUUUUUUAAGUUGACUUGAGCUUUCAGUUGCCUUCUUUAUGAUCGAUGUUUGAGUUAGGGAUUGCUUAUGGCAAUUGAAGAGACCUUUUGAUCCUCCCUUGUUCAUCUCAUAUGCCAUGUAUUAGAGGCCUUUUAUCUUGAUUUUAUUUGGUCCUUACCUCAUUUCCGGAUUAAAUUUUUCAGUGGACCCCUUUUGUGCAUCUUUUCAUCUGUCUGAUUCAUCUGAUAUUUGUUAUACUUGUUUCUUUCAUCCAUGCCUUCUUUUGCUUGAUUGUUUAACAUGUUCAUACUUCCUAUGCAUUGUUUAAUGCUCCAUCAUAUCAUUCUUUGAUUAUUUGACUUGAUUAUAUACCUGUCAUAUACUCUUAUUGUUUGAUAACUGUUGCCUACUUGUAUGAUGAUUGAGGCAUAUAUUCUUAUUGUUUGGUCGCCGUGAACCAUCCCCAUUUGUAACAAAUGUACCCCUCUCCCAAGAAGUGUAUAAUAUUUAUUCUCUCAUUCUUUAUUCAUCUGUUAAUACAAGAAUUAAAACGAACAUCCGAUAAUCAUUUCAAAACAAGAUCAAAAGCUCGACCCAACGUCGAGUAAUCAUUUUCAAAACUUAACAGAACCAGCAUGUAUUCAUUCAUCCUCUUGUAAGUCGAUCUCCUCAGGCAUCGCCAUUUCUCUUGUAAGUCGAUUGCUUCAGGAAACACCAUCUACCUCUUGUAAGUCGAUUGCUUCAUACAUCGCCAUCUACCCUUAUCCGUGGCUCCUCUCCUCGCUCCAUCCGUCAACUCUUGUUCUGUUUAGGUAACACCCAUUAGGUAGAACCUUUUGUAUUAUAACAUAGGUAGAAUUCCCUUAUUCUUUGCAUGCUAACAUUAGGUAGAUGUUUCCCUUCUGUAAAUCCUAAUACAUAGGUCCACAUUGCAUGACAACUCUAGGGCAGAGCUUCCCCACUUUUAGACCUUCCGUGCGUCUCCGAUCUUGUGGCAUGUCAAUCCGUUCUAUUGCAAAGAGGUAACUGCCUAAGACUCGAUUAGAGCUUCCCCACUUUUAGACCUUCCGUGCGUCUCCGAUCUUGUGGCAUGUCAAUCCGUUCUAUUGCAAAGAGGUAACUGCCUAAGACUCGAUUCAGCGAGCUGCGACACCUACUGCUAGGAUGUUGACCACAUUGCCCACUUUCCUUUGACACAGCUGGUGUCCUCUUUUGUAAGUCCAUGUUCAGAUGGAAAUCCAUAACCCCUAGUUAGGCGAACUACGACAACUCUGAUUCUCAUGUUCAGAUGAGAUACGUAGGCACGAGAUGUGAUGUCUUGCCGAGUUUGACUAACGACUAACAACUAAUCCUUGUUUACUUUCCCCCUUGCUGCGAUUCUUUUCUCUCGCCCUCGUUGCGAUCGAGACCUUCCCUUUCUCUUGCCCUAGUUGCAAUCGAGACCCUUGUUCCCGUAGUUAGCUGAACUACGUUUUUCUCUGAUUCUCAUGUUCAGAUGAGAUACGUAGGCAUAAGACACGAUGUCUUAGAGAGCACACUUCUCUUUCGCCCAUAGGUAGCUGAGCUACGAAGACUCUGAUUCUCAUAUUCAGAUGAGAUACGUAGGCAGUGGAUGCGACAUCCUUGCGAGUCAUUUUAUUUUAACCCUUCUUUUAGUAAAUAGUACCUUAGAUAUACCUACACCCUUUAGACUAGAACAACAAGAGUGGAUCCCGUAGAGUACUACAGAUGCGUAGGGGUGCUAAUACCUUCCCUUCGCAUAAUCGACUCCCGAACCCAAGAUUUGGUUGUGAGACCUUGUCUUUUCCUUCUCUUCAGGUUUUCUUCAAUCGUUUCCUUUCCCUUCUUUGGGAUAAAUAACGAACGGUGGCGACUCUUCUAUUUCUUUUUCUUCGCCGGUUGUUUUUUUUCGCACCAGUUGCGACAGCUGGAGACUCUGUUGGGGACCCGGUUUCCCUAUGCGAAUCCCUCCUAGCUUUUGUGAGUUUCUUGUUUGUUGGGUGUUUAUUCUUUUAUACAAUUAUUUACUUUCAGCAUUUAUCUGCUUUAUCUUAUUGCAUUAUGUACAUAUGAUUGUUGUAUCUGUUGGAUCUGUGGGGUUGGUUGUUUGUUGGGAUGGGUUGUUCUAUGAGAGAUAAGCCCACUACCCAGGCUUGAGCGUACACACAGGUUUUAGAGUGGAUAGUCAUGAGGCUUGCAUAGUAUGUUGCUACGUUAAGUCGUUCACGAAGACCCACACCAUGAUGAGGUUUCUUUUGGAUAUAUUCUGUCCUAUGAGUGUUCCAUAACGACAGACGUUCCUUUAGAAAUCGUCGACUCUGGUGACCAUUUCCCGAGGACUCAGUCGAGGGCUCUCCUCCGAGACGCGGUUAUGUUAGCUCUGGUGGGCACAUUCUCGCUGCUCAAUCCGAGGACCCCGAGGCUGGGAAUUGCUUUUAGGAUGUCCUGUUGAGGGGAGUCAGUGGAGGUCUUUUGUCUCGUAAUAAUGCUAAACCUUCAGUAGUAAACGUAUUAUUCUCGACUGAAGGACUAGAAGCUAAUGAACUUCUGUUCUUGGAACCUACCAGUGAGGGGCGGGCUAAAUUCAGGAAACCUUAACCUUCAACCAACCCAGUUUUCUGGUAUUCUUGUUGGAACAGAGCUUUGAUCUCUUAUAUGUUCCUCAGUGGUUUUCUCUUCAGACAGUGCGACCUGACAGUUGUUCAAGCAGAUACAGCAAUCAUGAUUCCCAUGUCACUGCAUUGCAUCACAUCAUUUUGCAUUCAUAUCAUUUAACACAUGUUUAUCCAUUACUAGGGGUUUAUAUCUUCUUCUUGAUUCUAGUCGGGGUUUUCUGGUUCUCCUAAGAUGGAUAUUGGCAGAAAAAGACAUGUCGCCUACAGAUUUCUUGUGGUUUGUUUGGAUCCCAUUCAACAGCUGAUGAAGUUAACGAAUCAUGAUUCUCUAGAAGGAUUCCGGAAGGAUUAUGGUUUGAUUCUAAGCUUCGUUACGGCUCUCUCCAAAGAUCAACACGAUGCUCUCUUUACACUGCUGCAGUUCUAUGACCCUACAUUGAGGUGUUUUACAUUCCCAGAUUAUAUCUUAGUCCCUACUUUGGAGGAGGUUGCCAGUUUUCUCAGAGUUCCUAUCAAGCCGCAGUUGCUAUUCUACAAUUCCAAGUUUCUGCCCGAUUUCAGCAUGGUUGCUUCAGCCACAUAUUUGGGGAAAUCAGUCUUGGAGUUUAAUAUGAGUCAGAAAGGAGGAGUUAAUGGUUUUCAUCUGAGUUUCCUAGUAGGAGAAGCCAAGAAGAAGCUUGAAGAUGGUGAUUGGAGGUGUUUCAAUGCUGUGUUGGCUCUUUGUGUAUACGGGAUUGUCUUGUUCCCUAAUGUUCCAAAAUUUGUGGACGUAGACGCAAUACACCUCUUCGUGUUGGGAAAUCCGGUGGCGACCUUGCUAGGAGAUUUCUUUCAUUCAGUGCAUCACAGGAAUGAGAAUAGAAAAGGAGGAUUGGUGAAUUGUUGUGCACCCUUGUUUCAUAAGUGGUUCAGUUCUCACCUACCCAAAUCAGGAGCGUUCAUUGACUUCAAGGACUCGUUGAGUUGGUCGAAGAGAUUGAUGGGGAUAAGAGCUAAAGACAUUUCUUGGUGGUCUGACCAGAACUUGCUUCGGGCGGAUAUCAUUCACAGUUGCGGGAACUUCCCGAAUGUGCCAUUGGUAGGAAGAAAAGGAGGGAUCAACUAUAAUCCUUCUCUAGCAGUCAGACAAUUUGGGUAUGCUUUGAAAACUCCGCCUUUGGAAAAAGAUGUGGAAGAAUCUCUGUUUUUCCAUUCCUCAUCUGAUUUGACUGUAUCCCAUAAGGCAGUUGAGGCUUGGCUCAAAGUGAUCAAGAGAGGAAGGACUGUGCUUGGAAAGGGAGAUUGCAGGACUUAUCAUCAAUAUGAAGAUUGGCUUCGGGGAAGAGUCGAAGAGUUUGGUCUGCCUUUUCCUAUUAAAGAACCUUUGUAUCCACCUACUCCUGAGCAGUCAACGAUGGUGAGUCGAGAGGAGUAUGACAAAUUGAAGAAUGCCAUUGAGGAACUUCAAACUAAAAACUCAGAGUUGCGUGUGAAAUUGCAAGAAUGUAUGCAUCUAUACCAUGAGGCAGAAUAUCAGAAGGGGGAAACUGUCAGAUUGCAAGAGGAAGCAGAGAAGAAACUGGUUGUGGAGGUUAACUUCUUCAGGAAAACUGACAAAGCCUUGGGGUCAUCCAGUUCUGAGUUGAGGCAAGUCAAGCAGUAGUUAACAGAUGCCUGUGGUAUGUUAGCUGGGUGGCAAGAGCAGUGGGAUGCAUUUUCAGCUUCUCGGAAGGCAAAAGAGAAGGAGAUGAUGGCCCAAUUGACCGGUCAGAUGGAGAAGUUGAAGACUCUGCUGAAGGAGAAGAACAAUGAGCUCUUGUGUGCCCGUACAACCAAUGGUUACAUCACAGAUCAACUCGACAAUGCUCAAGUACAUAUUGAAGAACUCAAGGUGCUGGCGGGUUUGAAGAAAUCUAGACUUGAAGAGGUGUUCGUGGAGGACGAUGGGAAUUACUACAUAGAGCACAUCAACGAGCUGGAUGGGAUUAUUCACAAGAGGAAUUUUCUUAUUCGGUGUUUAACAGAAUCUCUAGAUCAUCCUGACACGGUGGCACUACUGGCUGAAGUUAGGAGCAGUCCUUAUGGGUUGUAUACAGAAGGCUGAUUCCUGAUUUUUGUUCCUCUCUUUACUUGUUAUGUUUCUUUGUGGUUUUGUAGUGAUGAUCCACAGGCUUGUUGUGGAGAUCCUCUUUUGAUGUACUGUUGGCUAAGGCCAUUCUCUUUGAACUCGUUUGUAUGACGAUUUCUCUUUAUUGCAUCUUGGUCUCAAAAGUUUAUCCACGGCUCGAUCUUCUUGUACUGUUCAUCUGAUGUGAGACUGGAAUUAAGGGGUAGAGUACCCUUUGGAAUUGAUAAACAUGUCAUUGCAUUUGCACAUUCAUUAGCAUGUCUUGCAUAACAGGUACCGCCGCAAUGUUCUCAUUUUGUUUGAUAUUCCACUAGUAGGAUAGCUGACUCAGGCAUUCACCGGUACGGUACCCGCAGGAAUCAACAAAGAGCAAUGGAAGGCCUACAAGAAGAGCUUGUUGAGAUGAGGAUUUGCAUGAAUCAGUUCAUGGACGUGGUCCAAGGAGUGGCUCAGGGACAGCAGAAGCUCAGACAGAUGAUACAGAGGAAUCCCCCUACUACUCAACCAGAGAUGGUGAUUGAUCCUCCAGCUGGAGAGACCAAUGGACCCAAUAGACCGGGGCCUAUCCCUAUCCCACGUGUCAACCCUGAUCAACAACCCAUUCAUGAUGAUCAAGAGGAUCAGUUCACUCUGCUUCAAGAGGACUUUGGCAUGGGCCAUGGCAUGGACCUUAUGUUUAGGAGGUUGGAGGAGAGGUUGAAGGUUGUGGAAGGGCAGAAUGCUCUUGGUGUGGACGUUGCUGACUUGGGGCUGGUCCCAGGCGUGAGAGUUCCACCAAAGUUCAGAGUCCCAGUCUUUGACAAAUAUAAUGGCAACUCUUGCCCGAAGAGUCACGUGCAAGCUUACUUCCGCAAGAUGGUUGUGUAUUCUGAUGAUGAGAAGCUGCUCAUGUACUUCUUCCAGGACAGUCUAGCUAGGGCAUCCUUGGAAUGGUAUAUGAGGCUGGAUAGAGCCCAUAUUUGCUGCUGGAGAGAUUUGGCUGAGGCUUUUGUGAAGCAGUAUCAGUACAAUGUUGAUAUGGCACCUCACAAGACUCAACUCCAGAAUCUGUCUCUCAAGAGCAAUGAGUGCUUCAGAGAAUAUGCUCAACGCUGGAGAGAGACAACUUCCUGUGUUCAACCUCCGAUGAUGGAGAAGGAGAUGGCCAACAUGUUCAUGAACACACUUCCCGGGUCUUACUUGGAGCGUCUGGUGGGUUGCAACGCCUCCAAUUUCGCUGAUGUGGUCUCUACCGGUGAGAGGGUGGAGAACUACUUGAAGACGUGCAAGAUCCAAAGUGGGGUUGGAUCAUCAUUAGGGGCGAAGAAGCCGUUCAUACAGGGAUAAAAGAGGAGAGAAGGGGAUUGAAAUUCAAUAUCUUCUUAUCAGAACAGGGGUAACCGGAGGAACAGUUUUCAGAACUACCAUCAACAACCUUAUGUUGCAGUUGUGACCAUUUUGGCUGCAGCACCAGUGCAACAACAAUAACCUCAGCGUCAACAAACUCAAUACCAACAACCACAGGGUAACAGAGCUGCCUACCAACAGGGACAGAGGAUGUUGGACAGGCGUUUCGACACUCUUCGGAUGUUGCAUGCCCAGUUGUUUCCCAGCCUUCAACAGCUACAACUUGUGCAGAUACACACUUUGACUCCUCCUAUUGGCAGGCUUCCAGUGGGUUAUGACGCCAAUGCUAGGUGUAAUUUCCACUCUGGGGCACCUGGCUACUUUAUUGAGAACUGCAAAGCUUUUAAGCACACAGUUCAGGACCUUAUUGAUUCGAAGACCAUCAACUUUGUGCCAGCUCCUAAUGUUGUCAACAAUCCCUUGCCGCAACAUGGUGGUGCAAACGUUAACAUGGUGGAAGGAGAAUUCAAAGUCGUCAAGGAUGUGUUGAAGCUGAAGACACCGCUGUUGGAAAUCAAAGAAUACUUGUUGAAGGCAGAUGUUUUCCCCGGUUGUGGGAGCGGCUAUUUGGGUUGUACUGUACAGAGUGGGGGUUGUGUGAGGCUGGAGCAGGGUAUUCAGGCCUUGCUCGACGAUGGUAUCCACCAAGCUGAAGACCUAUCUGCCCAAAGGUCUAUUGAAGGGGUUGUUGUAGGGGAUGUUGAAGAGAAUGCUGAUGUUGAUCCUCUCUUUCCUGAAGAUGCCGUGGAUGCUAAAGAAUUUACAAAUGUUGUUCCUGCUGAUUUUGUAAUCCCUAGUGAUGUAAUUAAUUCUUCAGAUGUUGUUGUUGAUAUUCCAAACAAUGUAUUUAAUUAUGAUGUAUUUGUUGAGCCUGAUUCCGAUGUUUCGGAUGCUUGCAUUUCAAUGAAUAAGAUUUCUAAGUAUGACUGUGAUGUUGCCACUAUCACAAUUUUCUACCCAACUGCUUAGAUCAGUGUGCCAGUAGCGCAACCGGUGCCACCAGUGCGACCAUCCACUAUGACCAUCACGACCCCUGGUCCUUUACCUUUCACCAGCGAAAGGGCCAUUCCUUGGCAUUAUGGGGGGAGUGUGUACACGCAUGAUCAUGGAGUGGAGCAGCCACUGAAAAUAGAAGAGGUGCAGGAUCAGAGGUCUGAACCUGGAGUUGAGGUAAAAGAUCCCGCAGUGGACAAUAUUGGUGGAAUCGGGCGAUUCACCAGAAGUGGUAGACUAUUCUCACCACCGGUUACCCAACUUGAUAGUGCUGAUGCCGCGGCGAAGGCCAAAGGCAAGCAAGUUGUGAAUGAGGGUACCUCUGCACCACAGGCUGGCUCUGACCCUACUUUUGCGAAGGAUGUGGACGAGCUCUUGAGAAUCAUAGAGAAAAGUGACUACAAGGUAGUCGAUCAGUUGAUUCAGACGUCGUCCAAGAUAUCUAUUCUAUCACUCCUGCUGUGUUUGGAGGCACACAGGGAGGCAUUGUUGAAGGUCCUUAAUGCUGCAUAUGUGCCUCAGGAGAUCUCAGUGAACCAACUGGAAGGGAUCAUUGCAAAUGUUCAUGCGAGCAACAGGUUGGGUUUUACUGAUUCUGACUUGACACCAGCUGGACGCAAUCAUAACAAGGCUUUGCACAUCUCGAUGGAAUGCAAAGACACCGUGUUAUCCCAUGUUCUGGUGGAUACAGGUUCCUCUCUCAAUGUGUUACCCAAGAGAGCCCUGUCAAGGUUAGAUGUAGAAGGUUUGAUCUUGAAGCCUUCCGAUCUUGUUGCGAGAGCCUUCGGUGGUUCUAAGAGGUCGGUGUUCAGAGAGGUAGAAUUGCCAAUUUAGAUUGGAUCACAAACCUUCAACACUGUCUUCUAUGUGAUGGAUAUCAGUCCUUCGUAUAGCUGCUUGUUGGGUCGUCCUUGGAUCCACAAUGUUGGGGCAGUCUCCUCGACCUUGCAUCAGAAGAUCAAGUUCCCGGUCAACAAACGAAUUAACACUGUCUGUGGUGAGGAGGAUAUUCUAGUCAGUCACUUGUCUACAUUCAAGUAUGUAGAGGUAGAAGGUGAGAUUCAUGAGACCCUGUGUCAGGCCUUUGAGGCAGUUCAAGUCAAGGAUGCAGCUCCGGUGGAAGAGGUUAAAGUAGGUGCCUCUAUUUCGUCCUUUAAGCAGGCGCAGGCCUUGGUAAAUUCAGGUGUUGCUCCCGGUUGGGGACGUCUGUUGGAUUUACAUGUAAAGGAAGACAAGUUCGGGAUUGGGUAUCAGCCAACAUUGACUUCUACAACUUCAACGUCUUAGACUCGUCAGGGGCCGAUUACUUUCUCCAGUGCUGGCAUCAUUCAGUAUGGCCAGGUCUCUGCAAUCAACAAAGAAGAUGAAGAUAGUGAUUGCGACAUAGACAACUGGGUGCAUCCAAGGGUCCCGGGUGAAGUUCUCCGCAAUUGGUCUUCUGAAGAGAUUAUCCAAGUCACUCUUCUUGAAGAGUAAUUUUCUUUGUUUGUUUGUGCAUAUCCAAGUCUUACAUUCCGCCCAGGGCGUAAUGACUCAUUGUAGGGCUCAUCUAUGUGAAUACCUGCAUUUUUUAUCAUAAAUAAAGGACGUCUUUUUGCAUUCAAAUAUUUUGUUCACUGUAUCAUUGUAGGGCUCAUCUAUGUGAAUACCUGCAUUUUUUAUCAUAAAUAAAGGACGUCUUUUUGCAUUCAAAUAUUUUGUUCACUGUCUUUCUAUUUUUGCAGUUUUCAAAAAUCAAAAAAUAUUUGGCAAUGUUUUGUUUAGUUUUCACUCAUUAUUCACACUCAUAAGCACAUACCAUCACUCAUGCAGCUGCACGUCACCGGAUCCUAUUGAUAACAGUUCUACUAUGGCUCGCUUCGACUUUGAAAAUCCAAUCUUUCAAGCUGAAGAAGAGGGUGGUGAAGACUGUGAACUCCCUGAAGAACUUGCCAGGUUGUUAAAACAGGAGGAAAGGGUCAUUCAACCGUAUCAAGAGUCAAUUGAAGUGAUUAAUCUUGGCACCGAGGAUGUCAAGAGAGAAAUCAAGAUAGGGGUUGCUUUGGAAGAUAAUGUGAAGAAGGGGCUAAUUGAACUGCUGCAAGAGUAUGUUGACAUUUUCGCUUGGUCUUAUCAGGAUAUUCCAGGGCUUGACACAGAUAUUGUGGUACACCGUUUGCCUCUCAAAGAGGAUUGUCCUCCGGUCAAGCAGAAGCUCAGAAGAACAAGACUAGAGAUGACUGUCAAGAUAAAGGAAGAAGUGCAAAAAUAGUUGGAUGCAGGGUUUCUAGCGGUUACAAAUUAUCCGCCAUGGGUUGCAAAUAUCGUUCCAGUACCUAAGAAGGAUGGAAAGGUACGGAUGUGUGUUGACUACCGGGAUCUGAACAGAGCUAGUCCAAUUAUCCGCCAUGGGUUGCAAAUAUCGUUCCAGUACCUAAGAAGGAUGGAAAGGUACGGAUGUGUGUUGACUACCGGGAUCUGAACAGAGCUAGUCCUAAAGAUGAUUUCCAAUUACCUCACAUCGACGUUUUGGUGGAUAACACGGCUCAGUUCUCGGUUUUCUCCUUCAUGGAUGGCUUUUCUGGCUACAAUCAAAUUAAGAUGGCAUCAGAAGACAUGGAGAAGACAACUUUCAUAACCCCAUGGGGCACCUUCUGCUACAAGGUGAUGUCGUUUGGUCUGAAAAACGUUGGGGCAACAUAUCAACGAGCUAUGGUAACUCUUUUCCAUGAUAUGAUUCAUCAUGAAAUCGAGGUUUAUGUUGAUGAUAUAAUUGCCAAAUCUCAAAUGGAAGAAGAACAUUUAGUGAAUUUGCAGAAACUGUUUGAGCGUUUGAGGAAAUUCAAACUGAGGCUUAAUCCAAACAAGUGUACUUUCAGGGUGAGGUCUGGAAAACCGUUGGGUUUUAUUGUCAGCGAAAAAGGAAUUAAGGUGGAUCCUGCCAAAGUAAAAGCGAUAAAGGUUCAUCUCUCACCUAACAGCCACGUGUGAGCCAAUAUUCAAGCUGUUAAGAAAAGAUCAGGCUAUCAAGUGGAAUGAUGAUUUCCAAAGGGCUUUCGAGAAGAUAAAAGAGUAUUUGAAGAAUCCUCCUAUCCUUAUGCCUCCAGUCCCAAGGAGACCGCUGAUUAUGUAUUUGACAGUACUUGACAAUUCCAUGGGUUGUGUUCUCGGUCAACACGACGAGACAGGUAGGAAAGAGCAUGCCAUCUACUACCUGAGUAAAAAAUUCACAGAUUGCUGAGUCGAUGAACCUCAAUGCAUGGAAAAGACAUGUUUGUGCACUUGCAUGGGCCUGACUAAGCGAUUGAGACGAAUAACAUUGCUGACUCCACACAACCUGUACUGAUCUCCAAGAUGGAUCCAUUCAGAGUAUAUAUUAUAAGCCAGCUCUCACCUGAAGGAUUGCUCAGGUAUGGCAGAUGGGACUGACAGAGUACGAAUCCAGUAUACACCCAGCAAAGCCAAAUCAAAGGGAGUAUUCUGUCAAACUAUCUUGCUCAGCAGCCGAUUGAUGGACUAUAAGCCGAUGAAGUUUGAUUUUCCGGAUGAGACAUCAUGUUCCUCAAGGAGAAAGAUUGUGAAGAGCCAAGUUGUUGGAGGCGACCUGAUCCAGAUGAAAAGUGGACUUUAAUGUUUGAUGGGGCCGUCAAUGCCAAAGGAAGUGGAAUUGGUGUUGUCAUUACCACUCCGAAAGGUGCCCACAUGCCUUUCACCGCUCGUUUGACUUUCGAGUGCACCAAUAAUGAAGUUGAGUAUGAGGCCUGUAUUUUGGGUAUUGAGCAAGCCAUUGAUUUGAGAAUCAAGACUCUGGACAUCUUCGGAGAUUCAGCUCUAGUGAUCAAUCAAGUGAAUGGUGAUUGGAAUACUCUCCAGCCUAAUCUGGCCCCCUAUAGAGAUUACACGAGAAGACUGUUGACUUUCUUCACAACAGUAAAGUUGUAUCAUAUACCUCGUGAUGAGAACCAGAUGGUGUUGGUGUAAUCCCUAGAGGCCAAUACUUUUGGUACUUGUAUCGAAUUAUUUAUUAAUAAUAAAAGGCUUUUUCUUUAUUAUAUUUGUUUAAUAAAGUCCCUAGAAUAGCUAGUCCGUUUAAUGUAUCAAGUAUUACUUAAUCAUGAGAUCACAUUAAACAUAAGGACAUUAUUCUUAAAGUAUUCGUAGUCAAGCUUUAUUGUGAAGUGGGAUAACAUUAAAGCAUGAAGACUAUUAUGUUUAUAGACUGAUGAUCACAUCUCAUGGAUCAUGGAUAAAGAGUUAUCAAGUCUUAAACAUAGGUAUGAAUAUUAAGAGUAAUAUUUAUACUGGAUUGACCCGCUAUGAGAAUACUAUAUAGAAUGUUAUGCAAAGUGUCAUAAGUUAUUCUCAUGGUGAUAAUGGUGUAUACCACCCUUCGACCUGAAACCACUAUGGACCCUAGAUGUAGAGUCGAGUGCUUUAUUGCUGAUCAAACGUUGUCCGUAACUGGAUAACCAUAAAGACAGUUGAUGGGUACUCCACGAAGCAUGCUGAGGGACAUGAGUGACCUAGAUGGAAUUUGCCCAUCCUGCGUAACAGGAUAAAUGUCUAUGGGCCCAAUAUUGAACUGGACAAGGAUGACACGGUCUAUGCCUUGUGUUCAAUAUAGACAUAAGGGCAAAAGGGUAAUUAUACACAUAAGUAUUAUCACAGAAGGAUUUGUCAGAUCACAUGACAUUUUCGUGUCUUGGGUAGCAGUGAUGUGUUGCUAGAUACCGCUCACUGUUUAUUAUGUUAAAUACGUGAUUUAAUAUAAUUGCCAAUGCCGCGAAAACCUACAGGGUCACACACAAAGGACGGAUUGAUGAGAGAUAGAGUAACUAAGGAACACCGUAAGGUACGGUGCACUUAAGUGAAUUGUAGAACAUCGUAAGGUACGGUGUACUUAAGUAGAAUACGAAAUAUGGUAAGGUACCACGCGCUUAAGUGAUUUUGGCAUAUUAUAAGAUAUGGGCCACAUACACUUGAGUGGGCUUUUUAGCUUGCAGCCCACACAAGUGGUUCUAUAAAUAGAACCCUUGUGUAGAAGCAUUUGUGCAGUUGCAAUUUUGUUUUCUCUCUCUCUCACUCAAAGCCUUCAUUCGUAGCAGCUAGCACUGAGAUUGAAGGAAUCCGUUCGUGUGGACUGAGUAGAGGCGUUGUCAUCGUUCAACGUUUGUGAUCGCCACAAGAGGUAACGAUUCUAUCACUGAUCAUGCCCAUUCGUAAGGAUCAUUAAAGGAGAAAUUUUAAAUUCUGCUGUGUUUUGGAUCGCCAUUCAACUUCAGAUGGCAGAUGCUCUUGCUACUUUAUCCUCCAUGAUCAAGGUGAUUAGGUGGAACUAUGCUCCCAGGAUCGAUGUUAUGCGCCUUGAUAGGGCCGCGUAUGUGUUUGCUGGUGAACGGGUGGUUGAUGACAAGCCCUGAUAUCACGACAUCAAAUGCUUUCUGAAGAAUCAAGAGUACCCUGCAGGGGCAUCCAACAAUGAUAGAAAGACUUUGAGAAGAUUGGCAGACAAUUUCUUCUUGAACAAAGACGAUGUGCUGUAUAAAGGAACAUCGAUAUGGUUUUGCUCAGAUGCGUGGAUAGACACGAAGCGGACAUGUUAAUGCAGGAAGUUCAUGAAGGCUCCUUCGGUACCCAUGUCGACGGAUAUGCAAUGGCUAAGAAGUUGUUGAGAGCGGGUUAUUACUGGAUGACCAUGGAAUCUGAUUGUUUCAAGUAUGCUCGGAAGUGUCAUAAAUGCCAGAUUUAUGCUGAUAAGGUGCAUGUGCCGCCAAAUCCUCUGAAUGUGAUGUCUUCGCCGUGGCCGUUUGCUAUGUGGGGCAUUGAUAUGAAUGAUAAGGUGCAUGUGCCGCCAAAUCCUCUGAAUGUGAUGUCUUCGCCGUGGCCGUUUGCUAUGUGGGGCAUUGAUAUGAUUGGAAAGAUUGAGCCGACUCCUUCCAAUGGGCAUCGCUUCAUCCUUGUUUCCAUCGACUAUUUCACCAAGUGGGUCGAAGCAGCGUCAUUUGCGAAGGUCACCAGACAUGUGGUUGCCCGAUUCAUUAAGAAAUAAAUCAUUUGUCGUUAUGGGAUUCCCGAAAGAAUCAUUACUGAUAAUGGUUCUAAUCUCAAUACCAAAAUGUUAAAGGAGUUGUGCAAGAACUUCAACAUUUAACAUCACAAUUCUUCCCCUUAUCGUCCUAAGAUGAACGGUGUUGUUGAGGCAGCAAAUAAGAAUAUAAAGAAGAUUGUGCAGAAGAUGGUCGUUACGUACAGAGAUUGGCAUGAAAUGCUACCCUUCACCUUGCAUGGGUACCGUACUUCAGUACGUACGUCGACCGGGGAAACCCCUUACUCCCUUGUGUAUGGUAUGGAAGCAGUCCUACCUGUUGAAGUGGAGAUUCCUUCUCUAAGAGUCCUGCUGGAUGUCAAGUUAGAUGAAGUUGAAUGGAUUCAGACAAGGUUCAAUGAGCUGAGUCUUAUCGAAGAGAAGCGAAUGGCAGCCAUCUGUCAUGGGAAGUUAUAUCAGAGUCAGAUGAAGAGAGCCUUUGAUCAGAAAGUGCGUCCUCGAUGCUUCCAAGUCGGAGAUUUAGUGUUGAAAAGGAUCCUUCCUCCUCAGACAGAUCACAUGGGCAAGUGGACUCCUAACUAUGAUGGACCAUAUAUUGUCACCAAGAUUUUUGAUGGUGGAGCCUUAAUGCUUGCAACUAUGGAUGGUGAAGACUUCACUUCCCCUGUGAACUCAGACACAGUUAAAAAAUACUUCGCAUAAAAUAGACCCGCUGGACAAUAAAAAGAAUAGUCCAGGCAAAAAAUGGGCAUCCCGGCGAACCAAGAAAAUGAAAAAGGUUCGGGCAAAAGUUAGGGGUUAAAAAUGAAAAGAUUGUACACCCGGUAAGUUGAAAAACUGAAAAGGCAACUUAGGCAAAAAUGGGUAUCCCGGUGGAUUGAAAACCCGAAAGGGCGAUCCAGGCAAAAGUUAGGGAUUAAGCGAAUGACUGUGUUCUGAGUAGUUCUGAAUCUCAUUUCGUGUCGAUAACUGGAAACUUUCGAAGGAUAGGAAACAGUCCAAUCACCUCUUUCAGAAAGCUGAUCAUGUGGAGGAUCUUGAAGACGAGCGAGUCAUAGCAGAAUUGGAACCCGAUAGAAAUCCCUUUCACAUUGCUAUUAGACUAAUUUCUG